rnacentral:rRNA from 1 species
GGUCAAGCUACAAAGAGCACAAGGUGAAUGCCCUGGCACUAGGAGCCGAAGAAGGACGUAGCAAUCUGCGAAAAGCCGCGGGGAGCCGAAAGCAGGCAUCGAUCCGCGGAUGUCCGAAUGGGGAAACCCACCCGGAGUAAUGACCGGGUACCGAGAGCUGAAUUCAUAGGUUUUCGGGGGAAACCGCCCGAACUGAAACAUCUAAGUAGGGCGAGGAAGAGAAAUCAAACGAGAUUCCGCAAGUAGUGGCGAGCGAACGCGGAAGAGGCCAAACCGGGGGCAGCAAUGUCACCGGGGUUGCGGACAGCGUACGCCAUUGUCGAGUUUUAGCAGAACGGUAUGGGAAGGCCGGCCAUAGACGGUGAGAGCCCGGUAUGCGAAAAGACAAGACAGGCAGCUGUAUCCAGAGUACCGCCGGACACGAGAAAUCCGGUGGGAAGCCGGGGGGACCACCCUCCAAGCCUAAAUACUACCUAGUGACCGAUAGUGAAUAGUACUGUGAAGGAACGGUGAAAAGAACCCCGGAAGGGGAGUGAAAGAGAACCUGAAACCUUGUGCUUACAAGCACACAAAGCGCGUCAAUGCGUGAUGUGGUACUUUUUGUAGAACGGUCCGGCGAGCGUAUGCAUGCAGCAAGGUUAAGGGCCUAAGGCCCGCAGCCGAAGGGAAACCGAGUCCGAAUAGGGCGACAUAGUUGCAUGCAUAGGGCCCGAAACCGGGUGACCUAUCCAUGUCCAGGGUGAAGUGGGGGUAAAACCCCAUGGAGGCCCGAAUCGACCUCCGUUGAAAAGGCGGCGAAUGAGAUGUGGAUAGCGGAGAAAUUCCAAUCGAACCCGGAGAUAGCUGGUUCUCCCCGAAAUAGCUUUAGGGCUAGCCUCGCAUAUCAUUACCGGAGGUAAAGCACUGAAUGGACUAGGGGCCGAGAGGCUACCGAAGCCUAUCAAACUCUGAAUGCCGGAUAAUUGAUGUGCGGGAGUCAGACUGCGAGAGAUAAGUUCCGUAGUCAAAAGGGAAACAGCCCAGACCCACAGCUAAGGUCCCCAAUGUAUGCUAAGUGGAAAAGGAUGUGGAAUUGCUCAGACAACCAGGAUGUUGGCUCAGAAGCAGCCAUACAUUUAAAGAGUGCGUAAUAGCUCACUGGUCGAGUGGUUCUGCGCCGAAAAUGUAACGGGGCUAAGCAUGCAACCGAAGCUUGGGCUUUUAGAAGUUAGAAAUGAGAAGUUAGAGGCAAGAGGGAACGGGAAACAAGAAUCUAACAUCUGAUUUCUAACUUCUAGAGGGGUAGGGGAGCGUUGCAUAAGGGGUGAAGUCAGAGCGUAAGCGCUGGUGGACCUUAUGGAAGAGAGAAUGCCGGAAUAAGUAGCGCGAAUUAUGUGAGAAUCAUAAUGGCCGGAAGCCUAAGGUUUUUGGAGCAAGGUUCGUCCGCUCCAAGUGAGCCGGGAGCUAAGGUGAGGCCGAAAGGCGUAGCCGAUGCACAUACUGUUGAAAUUCAGUAGCCGCCAAAGUUGUUAAGCAGG